UCCUUCUCCAAAAUUAAAUUAAAAAGCCUUGCCAUCACCUUUGGGUGCCCAUUUUUGGAAGCUGAAUUUGGAUGGGCACCGGUCAGAGAUUCCUGCAUUGCAGGGGUUUGACACUUGGGGUAUCUUCCAAUGUUGAAACUCAGAACCUCAUGAACCUCAGAGCGCAUGAACCUGAGGGCUUGCCACAUACAUCUUGCAAAUGACGGUUGGCAACCCAGUAGAUUUCAACAGUCCUCGAGGCACCUAUAAUUUGUAUCAUCCCUCCUUCCCCAGUCCACUUGGCUUCUGGUACCUCCAGGAUUCCCACCAACCUCCAGCCAUGAAGAUCUUCUGCCUCCUCUCUGUUGCCGUCCUCUUCUUGAUGCUGCUGGCUCCAGAUUUCACCAGAGCCAAAGUUGCUGUUCCGAUAUGUGAACGUAUCGGUGGGAAAUGCAUAAGAUGGUGCCCGAAGCCACUUUUUAUGUGUUCAUCUGUCCUAAUGUGUUGCCGUUAAGGAUACUAACUCUGCAGAUCUCCGGUGCAAGACCUCUGGUGAAAGGAAGACCACCCUGCUCUCCUCUGAUGUGCAGCUGCCUCGACUGCACCCCCAUCUCUGCUGGGGAAGAAACCGCUUUGCUUGAUGCUGCUGAAGGUGAUGCUGGGAAGGAGUCAAGUGGGAGCCAUCCUGUCUACCUGUCUACUCAUGAGUAAGCCCACUGUGUCCAGUGGGUUCUGACUCCUUAGUAAAUGGAUUCGGGAUUGGAGCU